AAACGUAGGAGGCGAGCGUUAUCCGGAUUUACUGGGCGUAAAGGGCAGGUAGGCGGUUGCCAAAGUUGGGCGUGACAGAUCCUGGCUUAACUGGGAAAGGUCGUCCAAAACUAGGCGACUAGAGGGCAGGAGAGGAAAGCGGAAUUCCUAGUGUAGCGGUGGAAUGCUCAGAUAUUAGGAAGAACACCAGUGGCGAAAGCGGCUUUCUGGCCUGUACCUGACGCUGAGGGGCGAAAGCUAGGGGAGCGAACGGGCUUAGAUACCCCGGUAGUCCUAGCUGUAAACGUUGGAUACUGGGUAUUGGGGGUGUAAACUCCCGCAGUGCCGAAGCAAACGCGUUAAGUAUCCCGCCUGGGGACUACGGCCGCAAGGUUAAA
rnacentral:rRNA from 1 species